rnacentral:rRNA from 1 species
ACGCUGGCGGCAGGCCUAACACAUGCAAGUCGAGCGGUAGAGAGAAGCUUGCUUCUCUUGAGAGCGGCGGACGGGUGAGUAAUGCCUAGGAAUCUGCCUGGUAGUGGGGGAUAACGUCCGGAAACGGACGCUAAUACCGCAUACGUCCUACGGGAGAAAGCAGGGGACCUUCGGGCCUUGCGCUAUCAGAUGAGCCUAGGUCGGAUUAGCUAGUUGGUGGGGUAAUGGCUCACCAAGGCGACGAUCCGUAACUGGUCUGAGAGGAUGAUCAGUCACACUGGAACUGAGACACGGUCCAGACUCCUACGGGAGGCAGCAGUGGGGAAUAUUGGACAAUGGGCGAAAGCCUGAUCCAGCCAUGCCGCGUGUGUGAAGAAGGUCUUCGGAUUGUAAAGCACUUUAAGUUGGGAGGAAGGGCAGUUACUUAAUACGUGAUUGUUUUGACGUUACCGACAGAAUAAGCACCGGCUAACUCUGUGCCAGCAGCCGCGGUAAUACAGAGGGUGCAAGCGUUAAUCGGAAUUACUGGGCGUAAAGCGCGCGUAGGUGGUUCGUUAAGUUGGAUGUGAAAUCCCCGGGCUCAACCUGGGAACUGCAUUCAAAACUGACGAGCUAGAGUAUGGUAGAGGGUGGUGGAAUUUCCUGUGUAGCGGUGAAAUGCGUAGAUAUAGGAAGGAACACCAGUGGCGAAGGCGACCACCUGGACUGAUACUGACACUGAGGUGCGAAAGCGUGGGGAGCAAAC